rnacentral:lncRNA from 1 species
GAAGCCGGGGCCGGGGCUGCGGGGCGAGUUGUCGGCCCUGGGCCGGGAGCUGGAGUCCCAGACUCAUAGGUCCCGGCCCAGCCCCCGAAGAGCCGCCUCAGCCGGGGGGAGUUGCUCGGACUCAAACGUCCAGUCCUCGUGCGACCGCGCUGGGUCGGAAGUGAGCAGGCUGAAGUGUCCCUACUGUCCCAUGGAGCAGAACCCGGCAGAUGGGAAACGCAUCAUAUUCUGAUUCCUACCUGGAAGGAAUUUUGUUGAAAGGGGUUUUCACCUGUGAGCCUUGGUCUGUCUCGGUAGGGUGGUCAACUUCAGUGGACUGUGGUUGGUUUCAGAGCGCCUGGCUGAGGAGUUCCACUGAGGGGAGCACUGGAGCAGCCCUUUGGCAGAGGCUGAGGAGGGAGAUGGACCAGCCCACGCCUGGCACCUGGCUCCAUGGCAUAAGGAAAGGGAGAUGCUGGCCUCUGUGCUCCUGCUGUCUUUUCCUGUUUCUGUUUGCGUUUGACUUAGUAGCAACCGACAGAGUGGCAAGGGAUUUGGUCUUCAGCAGUAGACAUCCUUCCACCCCUGCCCUCAGCCAAGUCUCUUGCUGCCAUGCCAAUGCUAUGUCCACCCUUGCCCCUCGGCCCAAGAGUGUCCAGCGGUGGCCCACCUCUUCCUCCCACUACAGCCUCAACAGU